rnacentral:rRNA from 1 species
AUUGAACGCUGGCGGCAUGCCUUACACAUGCAAGUCGAACGGCAGCGGACCUUCGGUGCCGGCGAGUGGCGAACGGGUGAGUAAUAUAUCGGAACGUACCUUUCAGUGGGGGAGUAACGUAGCGAAAGUUACGCUAAUACCGCAUAUUCUGUGAGCAGGAAAGCAGGGGAGUCGCAAGACCUUGCGCUGAUUGAGCGGCCGAUAUCAGAUUAGCUAGUUGGUUGAGGUAAAGGACUCACCAAGGCGACGAUCUGUAGCGGGUCGUGAGAGGAUGAUCCGCCACACUGGAACUGAGACACGGUCCAGACUCCUACGGGAGGCAGCAGUGGGGAAGUUUUGGUACGAAUAGGGCGGCAAGACCUCGAUCCACGCCACUGCCG